ACGGGAGGCAGCAGUGGGGAAUAUUGCACAAUGGGGGAAACCCUGAUGCAGCGACGCCGCGUGAGUGAUGAAGUAUCUCGGUAUGUAAAGCUCUAUCAGCAGGGAAGAUAAUGACGGUACCUGACUAAGAAGCACCGGCUAAAUACGUGCCAGCAGCCGCGGUAGUACGUAUGGUGCAAGCGUUAUCCGGAUUUACUGGGUGUAAAGGGAGCGUAGACGGCUUUGCAAGUCUGAAGUGAAAGCCCGGGGCUCAACCCCGGAACUGCUUUGGAAACUGUAGAGCUGGAGUGCAGGAGAGGUAAGUGGAAUUCCUAGUGUAGCGGUGAAAUGCGUAGAUAUUAGGAGGAACACCAGUGGCGAAGGCGGCUUACUGGACUGUAACUGACGUUGAGGCUCGAAGGCGUGGGGAGCAAACAGGAUUAGAUACCCUGGUA
rnacentral:rRNA from 1 species